GACGGAGAGUUUGAUCCUGGCUCAGGACGAACGCUGGCGGCGUGCCUCAAACAUGCAAGUCGAGCGUGGGCGCGUUGCCUCGCAAGAGGUGACGCGCUCUAGCGGCGGACGGGUGCGUAACACGUGGGGAACCAACCCUCCAGACG
rnacentral:rRNA from 1 species